CAGCCUCUGGUGCACAUCCGUGUGUGGGGCGUGGGGAGCUCCAAGGGCCGUGACAGGUGAGUGAAAACCAGGUAUCCUGAGCCCCAUCCCUGAUGUCCCUACUCCAUCCCUGCUAUAUCCCUAGCCUGACUUUCCAGCCUCCUGCAGGCUCCUGCCUCUAACCCGCCUCUACCCCAGCCCCAUCUCUGCCCCUGCUAGGGACUUCGCUUUUGUGGCAAGUGACAAAGAUAGCUGUAUGCUCAAGUGCCAUGUGUUUCGCUGUGAUGUCCCUGCCAAGGCCAUUGCCAGUGCCCUACAUGGGCUUUGUGCCCAGAUCUUGUCAGAGCGAGUAGGGGUCAGUGGUGAUGCCUCUUGCUGCUCCCCAGACCCCAUCUCUCCUGAAGACCUGCCACGGCAAGUGGAGCUGCUGGAUGCGGUAAGCCAAGCUGCUCAGAAGUACGAGGCACUGUAUAUGGGGACACUGCCAGUCACCAAAGCCAUGGGCAUGGAUGUGCUGAACGAGGCCAUUGGUACCCUCACCGCCAGGGGGGACCGGAAU
rnacentral:sRNA from 1 species